AUUGAUAUAAGCUAACAAAAACACUAUUAAUCCACUUUACUCUUGCAGAUCGGUGACCGGCUCCGGACCCAGUGUACCCGCCCAACCAUGAGACGAUCACCUAUUCGUCUCCCACUUUUGGCCAUUAGAUGGCCAUCAGCCUGUGCCGGCUGUUAUGUCAACUCUCCCCAUCAAAGAAAAUUUAGGCGGACAUUUCUCUCUUCAGAUACGGUUAUCUGCAAGCUGCUAUCGAUAAUUUCGUACACGCUAACAUUUCCGGCAUUUUAAACCAGAAAACAUUCUGGUUAGCGACCAUCAUACAGAACAGGAAACAAAAAAACAAACGCCCAGAAGUUAUUGCCAGUCAGCAAAAGAAAGGAAAACAAGGGAAGAGAUAUAAACACAGAAGCAAAAUUUUUGGGCCCUUUUCUUCCCGGAUCGCACUUUCGGAAAUUUACCUAAUUUAAACUAGUCGGAGCACAAUGAGGAGUCUGCGUCUGACUCUGCCGUUUACUCAGGCGAGGAGGCAUGAAAUGGAACAGACUCACUCGGAUGAUAUGGGCCCGUGGCCGUGGGGACCGUGGCCGCCUCAUCGUCGCGUGAGUCCCGUCCGUGGUGGCUCGUCUCUCCGUCGUGUGGAUUACGCCGAUACUUGGCCGUGCUUUGAAAAUCCGUGCUGAUUAUCUGGGUUGAUCUGGCCAGCGUCCUCCGGCGCGGGAUUCAAGCGUUGUGUACCACAGAAUGGCUGCGGCUGCUUUAAUAGAGUAUCGCUUUUAUUGUAGUUUUAAA